GACGAACGCUGGCGGCGUGCUUAACACAUGCAAGUCGAACGGAAAGGCCCUGCUUUUGUGGGGUGCUCGAGUGGCGAACGGGUGAGUAACACGUGAGUAACCUGCCCUUGACUUUGGGAUAACUUCAGGAAACUGGGGCUAAUACCGGAUAGGAGCUCCUGCUGCAUGGUGGGGGUUGGAAAGUUUCGGCGGUUGGGGAUGGACUCGCGGCUUAUCAGCUUGUUGGUGGGGUAGUGGCUUACCAAGGCUUUGACGGGUAGCCGGCCCGAGAGGGUGACCGGCCACAUUGGGACUGAGGUACGGCCCAGACUCCUACGGGAGGCAGCAGUGGGGAAUAUUGCACAAUGGGCGGAAGCCUGAUGCAGCAACGCCGCGUGCGGGAUGACGGCCUUCGGGUUGUAAACCGCUUUCGCCUGUGACGAAGCGUGAGUGACGGUAAUGUGUAAAGAAGCACCGGCUAACUACGUG
rnacentral:rRNA from 1 species